ACAAAGUAGCGAAAUGCGCCUGAUAGCUUGAGGAGAUACAUCGACCAUCGUCGUGGAGUUAUCUUUUUUCCCGCACGAGAUGUCUCUUUUGAUAUUAAAUCAAAGAUGACGUCACUAUGGAAUUUACAAAGUUGAUUGAAUGAACGCGGUUCGUAUAGAUAUGUUAGAGUAUACUCCACACUCCUAGUGGGCAAAAAAAGUGUGACUACGUCCUCUACUUUGUACAAAUAUUGGUCAUGUGCUUUUGGUUUGAGCACUGUGUUAAGAGACAUUUGUUUUGAGUAUUUGUGAUUUGAAAGUGAUGCAAGUUGUAGCCGUUGGACCCUGAGUCUGACUCUGUUGUCUGUACGCCUGUGUCUUGUUUCUGAAACUGCCUUGGGAGUGGAAGCUCUGUGACGCUUGGAGGAGUCAUGGAAUUGGGAAUGUAAGUGAGAAGUUAUUGUGUGAUCAAUGAUGAAGAGUGUUGAGCUUGGUCUGCGAGGCUUUCUCGUCUAUGCCUCGCAAAUAUGGACAUUCCUUGCCUACGUUUUCAAGAAACAAGUGAGAGCCAUUCUGCAGCACAAAACCAUAACCUACGGGUCCCUCCACGUCUCGCACCUCUCUCCACUUUCCAGACAUCGCCUGAGCCUGGUGAAGCGGAAAGUACUAGUCCUGGACUUGGACGAGACUCUCAUCCACUCACACCACGAGGGCGUCUCCCGACCCCUGGUCCAGCCUGGGAGUCCUCCCGACUUCACUCUCAAAGUCAUCAUUGAUCGACAUCCCGUGCGCUUCCUUGUUCACAAAAGGCCGCAUGUGGACUUUUUCCUGGCUAUCGUCUCCCAAUGGUAUGACUUGGUUGUAUUUACUGCUAGUAUGGAGAUUUAUGGAACUGCUGUUGCUGACCGACUGGAUAAUAACACUGGAAUUCUUUCUCGUCGUUAUUACCGCCAACAUUGUACUUUAUUGAAUGGUUCUUACACUAAGGAUCUCUCUGCUGUUAACGAAGAUCUUUCCUCUAUUUUCAUUUUGGACAACUCGCCAGGAGCAUACAGAGCUUACCCAGAUAAUGCUAUACCUAUUAAGUCUUGGUUUUCAGAUCCUACUGAUUGUGCUCUACUAAAUCUUCUUCCUAUUCUUGAUGCGCUUAGAUUUGUAUCAGAUGUUAGAUCUGUUCUUUCUCGUAACAGGGAAGCUCAUAGACUUUGCUUUGUUCCUAAAAUACUGGACAUCCUUGCCCGCAAAGUUGGGGUCGCGACCCACUAUUUUGGAAAUUCUCCUUUAGCAUAUCAUAUUUGCAACAUUAAGGGAGGAAUUUGAAGAUAUCUCAAUGUUAAUAGAUCUAUAACCUCGAAAUAUGAUAGUUUUUCUAUGACUUUCAAGAUGUAAAUCUAGCAUUCUUAAUAUGAUAAAUUUAGCAUUUUCUUUAUAUUAACUCUCCUAUAGUGUUAUUUUAAAAAUAUAAAUUAUUUUCUCUAGAGCAAAAAAACGUCAUAUUCUAACAUCCAAUAUCAAAAGAAAAUAGGCAGUUGGUUUUUAAAUAUAAAAUGUAAUCGAUAGUAAUAUAUAUCUAGGGUUGUUGAAAUCGUUGAAAAAGAACAAAUUUUUAUUGGUUGAAAGAGAUUAUAUAAAAAAGGAAUAAAAUACGUUGUUUUUUUUAAAACUUUUCCACUGUAUUGUACUAAUCAUGAGCAAAGCAACUUCCUCUAACUGCUCUCUCACGUAAAUCAUCAUCAUGCCAAAUAAAACGUCCUUUUUUCAUGGUUUUUGCGGUUUCUUGUGCCCAUCUCGUUGUUUAUGGUAAGUAAUCCGCCACUCCAAAACCUCUUAUCAAAUCAACAACUUUAAAGUCUUCAAUAAACACAAGAUUCAAGGAGACGAAGGAGAAUUAAACGGUUCAUCAUUCAAUUUGACGUAGAAAAGUUAUUUGUGUCGUGUAAUCCCUUUAAAUGUUAUGGAACAUCCCAAUUUCUCCAAGUUUAUUGAAAAGUAUACUGGAAAAACUUCUCCAGAUCGAUUAGUGUUAACAUGUUGGUUGUUGAAGUAUGUCAAGCAGUUUUGAAUAACAUAAAAGAAGAGGUGGAACAAAAGGAUAUUUUCGUUGUAGUAAAUGAGACAAGAGAUCAUCAAGGGAGGUCAAUGAUUGCAAUUUUGAUAGGCACUUUGGACAGACAUCUCUGUGGGAUACCUUACCUUAUUGACUUGAUUGAUAUUGAGAUUGCAAAUUCUAACAAUGUAAAGAACAUCGUCAUAAGUUCAGUUUAUAAGUUAUUGGGAGAAGAUUUUGUCCGUGUAGACUUAAAGUUUUCAUCACGGAUGCCACAUCGUAUUGUCUCAAAGCAAGAGAAGAUCUACGAUAAAAAUUCCAAGAAUGGAUUCAUAUUGCAUUUAUUGCUGAUGUAUUACAUGGAGUUGCAGAUAUGGUUCAACAAAAGUUUCCUUUAACGAACGAACUUAUUUCCAAUGGGAAGAUGUUUUUGAAUUAUUUAAGAAGAAAGAGAGCAUUUACCGCUUCGUACGAAAUUCCCCUCCCUCCAUCACCAGUUAUAACAAGAUAGGGAACUUGUUUUAAGGCAGUAAAGUACUACUACCGUUACUUUGACGUCUUCAGAGAAUAUUUAAACAGCCUUGAUUAAGAUUUGGCAGCAACCAGAAGAGCACAAGAUGUAAUUAAUAAUGAUGCCCUAAGAGAAGAAGAAGUAUUUAUAAAGGAAAUUUUUCGUCAAAUAUCUUUGGCAAUAACUGCACUUGAGGAAAGAUUGCCUCUUCUUAUCAGCCUAACCAUAGUAGAAAAUCUGACUCAAGAUUUGAAGGAAGAUCCAUUAAAGACCAAGUUAAAGGAAGUGCAUCAAAAGAAUCCUGGCUACACAAAACUAGAGGAACUCUCUACAAGUGAAAGUCUUCUAUACAAAAAUACUCCAAUUGUGAUGUUGAGAGAGUCUUUAGUUUGAUGAAUAUCAUCAAUACAAAAAAGUCGUCCAAACUAAGUACUAAGAAAUUGAUAAAAUUGUUGAUCGCCAAAUGAAAUGAAUGUUUUGUUAUCAUUUAAUUGCAAACACAUUUCGUGCCAAAGUUAUCUAUUCAUCCUUUGUUGGUCACUAAGAAGAAAUAAGUACACUGCCUGUAAUGAUGGGGUUGAUGUUUUCUAACUAACAAUAUAUUUUGUCUUGCAUAAAUUUAAAGAAUAUAUCAUACAUUUAUAAAGUUAUUUAUAGGGAAGUUAUAUAUUAAUAAUGUACAAUAAUCUCUUUUCCUUCAUGUGCAAAUAAAUAAAUAAUUUAAGUUAAAUAUA
rnacentral:misc_RNA from 1 species